AGCCCACUUGGUUACUGUGUGUCUGACACAAGCCAUGUGUCCCUUAAGUCUUACCUUCAUUUGUCUAGUUACUAAUUAACUUCCUAAUUAAUUAAUACAUGCUGAUGGCUUUGUGUUCCUCUUACGGGGCACGAGGAUUAUAAUGGCAAGACUAACAAAAUCCUUGUGCUCUUGGUCCUUUUGUAGGGAGUAACAAUAUACACACCAUAUAUACAUGUAUAAUCUUAUGAUCAAUAUUCUUAGGGAAAUGAUAAGAAUGGUGGGACAAGAAUAAAGACUAGCACUUUCUAAAAAUUGGGAUAAAACUUUAGCUGAGGUCUAUCUUCUGACAUGUGUUGUUGGCUAUGUAUCUAUAGUUUUUUCAUCUUACUUAACUAGAGCUUUAUGUAUGUUAAGAUCUGUAGUUCCUCACUGCCCUCAAUUCUCCUGGAAGCCACCAUUGCAGUCUUUGAUGCUGUAAACUUGAUUCCUUGAAAUAUCUCAUAUAAUUAUAUUAUGCAGUAAUUCUCCUUCUGGGUCCUGCUUAUUCCAGUUGUCAUUGUCCUCAGUGCUUGCCUGUUGGGAAUGCAGUCAAAUAUCACACGAUGUCUUGUUUUAAGUCUGAACAGUAACCUAGUAUGUGUUUAUCUUGUCCUACUUUGAUAAGGAAGAUCAGGGAAGAAACAUUAUUAUCCAAAGAGAUGACAAAGCUGAGACCUCGAAAUGGUCAAAAACGUCAACAGAAGAGAGGUUUGCAGACAACAGCAAGAACAUAAUCUCCUGAUGCCUGAAAGACUAGAUCCUCUGCUUACCCUGCUGAAUCAGCCAGAAGGACUCAAGAGAUGACAAUGUCACCCUCAGAGAAGAAGGGUUUUGAUAAUCAACAGAUAAGAUGACACAGCUUAUGGAUUCCAGUCAGCCUACUCCCCAGCUGUCUCUGUCAUCGGCCAAUGCGUUUAUGAACAAAGCAGCCACCACAUGAAUGGAAAUCACAUGAAGA